AUGAGAUGUAACGUUUUUGAUAGAAGAGGUGCUCUGGCCAAGACUCAAGACAAAGGAGGGAUGAUGGUGACAUGCUUUACUGGGUCCUCUGUGGCUUAUAGUAUGAUGGAGAAAACAUACUGUGUUAAAAAUUGUGCGUUAUUGGAGAAACUGGGAGAGAUCAAGCUAAUAACUUAUGUAUCUUUGAAUGGUUUUAUUGUUUUUGUUUACUAUUACCAACAUUAUUUGUGGUUGCAGGAUCAAACUAAAAAGGUAUUGGGAUAUAUAUCAUAUGCGGAUGAAGAAAUAAUCCACGGAUGA